rnacentral:rRNA from 1 species
AACGAACGCUGGCGGCAUGCCUAACACAUGCAAGUCGAACGAGACCAUCGUGUCUACUGGCUCAUGCGUGCGUCACGUGUGGGAACCUUCCCUUAGGCUCGGAAUAACACUCUGUAGUGGGUGCUAAUACCGGGAAAUUUCCUCGAACACAACAUUGAUCGUGCGUGUGUGGGCCGGCGUUGGACUAGCUUGUUGGUAGUGUAAAAGCCUACCAAGGCUAGGAUCCAUAGCUGGUCUGAGAGGCUGGUCAGCCACACUGAGACUGAGACACGGCGGAGAAUACUACGCAAGGGAGCAGUGGGGGAUACAGGAAAAUGGGGGAAAGCCUGAUGCAGCAAUGCCGGGUGAGUGAUGAAGGUCUUAGGGAUGUAAAGCUCUUUUACCCGGGAUGAUAAUGACAGUACCGGGAGAAUAAGCACCGGCUAACUCCGUG